AAAGAGGAGUGGCGAACGGGUGAGUAACACGUGGGUAACCUGCCCAUCAGAAGGGGAUAACACUUGGAAACAGGUGCUAAUACCGUAUAACAAUCGAAACCGCAUGGUUUUGAUUUGAAAGGCGCUUUCGGGUGUCGCUGAUGGAUGGACCCGCGGUGCAUUAGCUAGUUGGUGAGGUAACGGCUCACCAAGGCCACGAUGCAUAGCCGACCUGAGAGGGUGAUCGGCCACAUUGGGACUGAGACACGGCCCAAACUCCUACGGGAGGCAGCAGUAGGGAAUCUUCGGCAAUGGACGAAAGUCUGACCGAGCAACGCCGCGUGAGUGAAGAAGGUUUUCGGAUCGUAAAACUCUGUUAUUAGAGAAGAACAAGGAUGAGAGUAACUGUUCAUCCCUUGACGGUAUCUAACCAGAAAGCCACGGCUAACUACGUGCCAGCAGCCGCGGUAAUACGUAGGUGGCAAGCGUUGUCCGGAUUUAUUGGGCGUAAAGCGAGCGCAGGCGGUUUCUUAAGUCUGAUGUGAAAGCCCCCGGCUCAACCGGGGAGGGUCAUUGGAAACUGGGAGACUUGAGUGCAGAAGAGGAGAGUGGAAUUCCAUGUGUAGCGGUGAAAUGCGUAGAUAUAUGGAGGAACACCAGUGGCGAAGGCGGCUCUCU
rnacentral:rRNA from 1 species